CCUACGGGAGGCCGCAGUGAGGAAUAUUGGUCAAUGGGCGCGAGCCUGAACCAGCCAAGUCGCGUGAAGGAGGACGGCCCUACGGGUUGUAAACCUCUUUUGCCGGGGAGCAACGGACGCCACGUGUGGCGUCAAUGAGAGUACCCGGAGAAACAGCAUCGGCUAACUCCGUGCCAGCAGCCGCGGUAAUACGGAGGAUGUGAGCGUUAUCCGGAUUUAUUUGGUUUAAAGGGUGCGUAGGCGGAUUUUUAAGUCAGUGGUCAAAUUUAGGGGCUCAACCCCGUCGCGCCAUUGAAACUGGCGUUCUUGAGUGGAAGAGAAGUAUGCGGAAUGCGUGGUGUAGCGGUGAAAUGCAUAGAUAUCACGCAGAACCCCGAUUGCGAAGGCAGCAUACCGGCGUCCGACUGACGCUGAAGCACGAAAGCGUGGGGAUCGAACAGGAUUAGAUACCCUUGUAGUC
rnacentral:rRNA from 1 species